rnacentral:lncRNA from 1 species
UGAAAUUUGCUCUAAUUCAUAUUAGCUGCCCCCAGGAAAUGUGAAAGUAUUUGAAGGUGAUUUUUACAGAAAGGAAGAGACAAGGUUGUAUUGAUUCCUUCCUGACAGAACUGCCCAUGCAUCCUGGGGAGAGAAUGUGGGUGCCUAUGCUGUGCUGCUGCUGGCAGGACAAAUCCCUCCAUCCCCUGUGCCCAGGGAGCUUGCUCACCCUGAGGCUCCUCUGGCUAUGCUGGACACUGCAGGUCUUAGCACGGAGUGGAAGACCUGUACAUCUGCAGAAGAAUCACAAAUGAGUACAAGAAAACAAGUUUUCCUUUCAAGAAAACAAGGCUGGUCCUAAAAUUUCAGCUGGUGGUGGCAUGGAUCAUUGCUAUGGAAAAUCUUCAUCUGGUGGGUUGGAAGUUUUAAAUCCAAUGAACUUCUUAAGAUUUGCUGGCCUCAGAGGCAGAAGUUGGCUGCCAUCCUCACCAGCAAGUCCCUAAGGGGCAGAACCCAAACCUUUGUGAAGACCAGGGGGAUUUGGGAUUCAGGUGAUGAACGCCAGUCUCUGAAGGGCCGCGGCGGCGGCGAGGUGCGGAGACGGGCCGCCUUUCUGCUGAGGAGGAGGAAGAGGAAGAAGAGCUCCUCCGCCGGCCGAGGAGCGCAGCGCCUUCCCCGGGGCCCGGGCUCCCCCGCCGGACACCCGCUCCGCCGGGGCGCAGUCCGCGCAGUGCAAAGGCCGGCCGGCCCCCCCCCCCCCCCGCAGUGCAAAGGCCGGCCGGUCUCCGGAGCCGCCCCGACUGUGCCCGCCCGCCGAGAGACGUGCCCGCACCGCCCUCCGACGGCAGGGGAGCUGGAAACGCAACAAGUUCUUUUUCCGCGUGGAUUUUUGUCUCUCUGUGUGUGAUCUGGUUUUGUGUGGUGGUUUUUUUUUUUUGGUUUUUGUGUGUUGUUUUUUUCCCUUUUGCAACUGUCCUGUAACAAUAAAAGAGAGAGGAGAUCAGAACUGCGCCGGGACCAGUGCAGCGUCCGGCCGAGGAGCCGCUCCCCCCCCCCCCCCCCCCCCCCCCCCCCCCCCCCCCCCCCCCCCCCCCCCCCCCCCCCCCCCCCCCCCCCCCCCCCCCCCCCCCCCCCC